rnacentral:sRNA from 1 species
AGACUGACUAUUUGGAUGGAAGUUUUAGCACAAGCACAAAUGCCAUUCACAUUCGUAUGUAUGCAACAAGGAAAGCUAAUUUACAGGCAUCCCAUUGAAUUGUGGGAAAUCCUAGGAAAUUUUUAAGAAGCAAGGAAUUAUAAGUUACCGCCAGGGAGGCCCUGUCAUCGCGGUGCAAGUGGAGAAUGAAUAUGGCUCAUUCAAUAAGGAUAAAACAUACAUGCCGUAUCUCCACAAGGCCCUGCUGAGAAGAGGGAUUGUGGAGCUUCUCUUGACCUCUGAUGGUGAGAAACAUGUGCUGAGCGGCCACACCAAAGGAGUGCUGGCCGCCAUCAAUUUGCAAAAACUUCACCAGAAUGCUUUCAGUCAGCUUCAUAAAGUCCAGAGAGAUAAGCCCCUUCUGAUUAUGGAAUACUGGGUCGGCUGGUUCGACAGAUGGGGAGAUAAGCACCAUGUUAAAGAUGCAAAGGAGGUUGAACAUGCUGUGUCUGAAUUCAUCAAAUAUGAGAUCUCCUUCAAUGUGUAUAUGUUCCAUGGUGGAACCAACUUUGGUUUCAUGAACGGGGCCACGUAUUUCGGGGAGCACACCAGCAUUGUCACCAGCUAUGGCAAGUGUCUGCUGGUGUAGUAGCCUCUCUAGCCUGUGGUGCUGGGGCUUUACAGAGGAGGCUCUGGAAGCCUGUUCUGGCACCACUGGGUUCUUGACCUAUAAUCUAUGCUGAGUACUGAGGAUUUUCCUAUCUAUUUUCCUUCCUUCUGUAUGUUCAUAAUGCGCCAACAGGCUGUCACUGCAGUAGACAGGGCUUUCCGGGACUUAGAGCUCUGCUUCACGCGUCUGGUAUACUGCCCUGUUGGCUUGAACCUCUGAAGAGAGGCAGGGUAGGAGCGGUGACUGCUGUAAAGGCACAGACCUGCACGGCCGGGCGAUACACACUGAGCAAAGAAAAGAGUGCCCGUUGCAGGGGUGUCCACUCUUUUGGCUUCCCUGGGCCACACUGGAAGAAGAAGAAUUGUCUUGGGCCACACAUGAAAUACACUAACACUAAUGAUAGCUGAUGAGCUUAAAAAAAAACACAAAAUGUUUUAAGAAAGUUUAUGAAUUUGUGUUGGGCUGUAUUCAAAGCCAUCCUGGGCUGCCUGCAGUCCAUGAGCUGUGGGUUGAACAAGUUUGCAUUAGAAAGUGAAAUGGGGGCAAGCCCAGUGUCAUGGCAGCCUCAGGUCCCCAGGAAGAGUUGUGGGGGAUGUCCUUAGAUUGGUAUCACACACCCACGUGGGAUGGAAGGUGUCUUCCUUUUGUCUCACUCUUGGUGGCCCUGGCCAUCUCCUGCCAGUGGUGCUGAAACAGGGCCUGCUGCAGAGACUGCAUGGCUGGUGACUGGCCCCGGUGUCUUGCAGACUAUGAUGCUGUGCUCACGGAGGCUGGAGAUUACACAGAAAAAUAUUUCAAGCUUCAAAAACUCUUUCAAUCUGUCUCAGGUACUUAGCACCCAUUUAACUUACGGGCCAGCCCUCCUCACGUGGAGUCUCUGUUCUGUGGAAAAGUGAGGAAGGAGUGGGUCUCCCUUGUGGGCAGCAGUUACACCGAGCUCCUGAGCACAAGGGCAACCUUAACUUCGAACCCUGGGCUUAAAAUCUGUGUGAUUUUUAAAAUAAGGGUUUCUAAGCAUUUUAUAAGCCUCAGUUUCUUCACUGAAGCAUAAAGGUAGUAACCUCCGUCUCCUGCGAUGACUGUGAAGAUUGAGUUACUCUUUGUAAAGCUCUUAGUACCAUGGAUGACAUAGUAACCCCUAGUAUGAAAGCAAAAGCCAUGCUGGAUAGGCAUGGGGGGCUUAGAGAAGGCAGUGGUCAUCUCAGGCACUUUUCGCCCUGUGCCCCAUCUCCAUUGCAGCAACUCCCCUGCCCCGAGUACCCCAACUUACUCCCAAGGCUGUGUAUCCCCGCAUGAGACCGUCGCUGUACCUCCCGCUGUGGGAUGCCCUAUCCUACUUAAAUGAGCCAGUCAGGUCGCGUCAGCCCGUCAACAUGGAGAACCUGCCCAUCAACCAUGGGAGCGGCCAGUCCUACGGGCUUGUCCUGUAUGAGAAGUCCAUCUGCUCCGGAGGCCGCCUCCGUGCCCAAGCUCACGACAUGGCACAGGUGUUUUUGGAUGAGACAAUGAUAGGGAUUCUGAAUGACAAUAAUGAGGACCUGCACAUUCCUGAACUCAGGGAAUCACUGGAUCUGUCAGCAUCAAUGACUCUUCCCUGGAGGGCUUUACCAUCUAUUCCCUGGAGAUGAAAAUGAGCUUCUUUGAGAGGCUCCGCUCUGCCACCUGGAAGCCAGUCCCAGACAGCCACCAGGGCCCAGCCUUCUACCGUGGGACCUUGAAGGCUGGCCCUUCUCCCAAGGACACCUUCCUGAGCCUGCUGAACUGGAAUUAUGGAUUCGUGUUCAUCAAUGGACGUAACCUUGGGCGAUAUUGGAAUAUUGGGCCUCAGAAAACACUGUACCUUCCUGGAGCUUGGCUUCAUCCAGAAGACAAUGAGGUCAUCUUGUUUGAGAAGAUGAUGAGUGGCUCAGACAUCAAAUCUACAGACAAGCCCAUGCUGUAAAACCGUAUCUGAACUUUUUGUUUUUUGUUUUUUGAGACAAAGUCUCACUCUGUUGCCCAGGCUGGAGUGCAGUGGCCAGAUCUCGGCUCACUGCAAGCUCUGCCUCCUGGAUUCAUGCUAUUCUCCUGCCUCAGCCUCCCUGGCAGCUGGGACUACAGGCGCCCGCCACCACGCCCGGCUAUUUUUUUGUAUUUUUAGUAGAGACAGGGUUUCACCUGUUAGCCAGGAUGUUCUUGAUCUCCUGACCUUGUGAUCCACCCCCCUCGGCCUCCCAAAGUGCUGGGAUUACAGGCGUGAGCCACCACGCCCGGCCGUGAACAUAUUUUUUGGGUUGCUGGAGUUCAUCUAUAAGUCAUUUUUGAGGAAUAAGAUUUAUGUUAAGACUAUCAAACACAGUGUUGCCUACAAUAGCAAAAAUGUGAAAACAACAACAACAACAACAAUAAAAAACCAGCAGAGGAAUUGUUAUGUAUUUUGUAGUCUAUCUAUAUGAUGCCUAUUUUUAGGCUUUAAAAAGUCUUCAAAAUCUUUAAUGACUGAUUUAUCUAGUUAAAUGCUUAAUCCUUAGCAGGCUCUUAUUCUUUAAUUAAAUGUGCCUUUAAGUAGAUGUGAAUAAAAUAAAAACAA